rnacentral:rRNA from 1 species
AACGUAGGUGGCGAGCGUUAUCCGGAUUUACUGGGCGUAAAGCGUGUGCAGGCGGGGUAUCAAGUGGUGUAUGAAAUCGCUCGGCUUAACCGGGCGCGGUUAUGCCAGACUGAUACUCUGGAGUGCGGGAGAGGGGCGUGGAAUUCCGGGUGUAGCGGUGAAAUGCGUAGAUAUCUGGAGGAACACCGGUGGCGAAGGCGGCAUCCUGGACCGAGAUUGACGCUGAGGCGCGAAAGCUAGGGUAGCAAACGGG